rnacentral:misc_RNA from 1 species
UUUCUUCCUGCUCCUUCCUUUCUUUCUCUUUAAGCCAUCGUUCUUUCAGCUCAGCUAUGGUAACGUAAUUCGAAGGUAGAGAAGGGUACUUUACACGAUCAAUUCCAGCCAUUGAUGAUCAAAACUCCCUGAGCAAAAUCAACAAGAAUAUCGCUGAAGCUUCAAGCUCUUCACAUGGUGGAUGAAAACAAAAAUGGCGAA